rnacentral:rRNA from 1 species
GAUGAACGCUGGCGGCGUGCCUAAUACAUGCAAGUCGAGCGAACGGACGAGAAGCUUGCUUCUCUGAUGUUAGCGGCGGACGGGUGAGUAGCACGUGGAUAACCUACCUAUAAGACUGGGAUAACUUCGGGAAACCGGAGCUAAUACCGGAUAAUAUUUUGAACCGCAUGGUUCAAAAGUGAAAGACGGUCUUGCUGUCACUUAUAGAUGGGUCCGCGCUGCAUUAGCUAGUUGGUAAGGUAACGGCUUACCAAGGCAACGAUGCAUAGCCGACCUGAGAGGGUGAUCGGCCACACUGGAACUGAGACACGGUCCAGACUCCUACGGGAGGCAGCAGUAGGGAAUCUUCCGCAAUGGGCGAAAGCCUGACGGAGCAACGCCGCGUGAGUGAUGAAGGUCUUCGGAUCGUAAAACUCUGUUAUUAGGGAAGAACAUAUGUGUAAGUAACUGUGCACAUCUUGACGGUACCUAAUCAGAAAGCCACGGCUAACUACGUG